rnacentral:rRNA from 1 species
GACCGUUUCACUACGGAAGGGCUGUAUUUAUUGGAUACCAAAACCAUCCUUCCCUCGGGAAGUUUUGUUUGAUGAUUCACAAUAACUGAUCGGAUCGCCACUGUGGUGGCGACAGGUCAUUCAACAUUCUGCCCUAUCAGCUUUCGAUGGUUGUGUAGUGGACAACCAUGGCCAUAACGGGUAACGGAGAAUCAGGGUUCGAUUCCGGAGAAGGAGCUUGAGAAUUGGCUACUACAUCUAAGGAAGGCAGCAGGCGCGCAAAUUACCCAAUCCCGAUUCGGGGAGGUAGUGACAAAAAAUAACAAUACCGGGCCUUUUUGGGCUUGGUAAUUGGAAUGAGGGAGAGUUAAACGGACCAUCGAGUAUCCAUUGGAGGGCAAGUCUGGUGCCAGCAGCUGCGGUAAUACCAGCUCCAAUAGCGUAUAUUAAAGUUGUUGCAGUUAAAAAGCUCGUAGUUGGACUUGUGUGCGCUGUCCGCGGGUGGCCUGCGCCCAAAAGGGCGUUUCGGUUCGGCCCCGGUGGCGCCUUGAAAUCUGCAGCUGGGGGGACGUUGGCCUUAACUGGUCGGCGACCGCACGCCGGCUGCUCGGUUACUGUGAGAAAAUUAGAGUGUUCAAGGCAGGCAUUGGGUGCAAUUGAAUACAUUAGCAUGGAAUAAUAAAAUAUGGCUCCUGCCGUAUUUUGUUGGUUUUGACUGGUGGGAGUAAUGAUUGAUAGGGACGGUUGGGGGUGCUAGUAUUGAGCGGCCAGAGGUGAAAUUCAUGGAUUCGCUCAAGACUAACUUAUGCGAAAGCAUUCACCAAGGACGUCCUCUUUAAUCAAGAACGAAAGUUGGGGGAUCGAAGACGAUCAGAUACCGUCGUAGUCUCAACCAUAAACUAUGUCGACUUGGGAUCGGCGGUAGUUUUUUCAUUAAGACACUGUCGGGACCACGGGAGAAAUCAAAGUGUCUGGACUCUGGGGGAAGUAUGGUCGCAAGGCUGAAACUUGAAGGAAUUGACGGAAGGGCACCACCAGGAGUGGAGCCUGCGGCUUAAUUUGACCCAACACGGGGAAACUUACCAGGUCCAGAGAUGUAGAGUAUUGACAGAUUGAGGCUCUUUCUUGAUCACUUCGGUGGUGGUGCAUGGCCGUUCUUAGUUGGUGGAGUGAUUUGUCUGGUUAAUUCCGUUAACGAACGAGACCUCAGCCUGCUAGUGUAGUCGGCUGGAUUC